rnacentral:rRNA from 1 species
GAUGAACGCUGGCGGCGUGCCUAAUACAUGCAAGUCGAACGCAUAGCGAAAGGUACUUGCCCCUUUCAGGUGAGUGGCGACCGGGUGAGUAACACUUGGACAACCUGCCUCAAGGCUGGGGAUAACACUUGGAAACAGAUGCUAUUACCGAAUAAAACUUAGUGUCGCAUGACACAAAGUUAAAAGGCGCUUCGGCGUCACCUAGAGAUGGAUCCGCGGUGCAUUAGUUAGUUGGUGGGGUAAAGGCCUACCAGGACAAUGAUGCAUAGCCGAGUUGAGAGACUGAUCGGCCACAUUGGGACUGAGACACGGCCCAGACUCCUACGGGAGGCUGCAGUAGGGAAUCUUCCACAAUGGGCGAAAGCCUGAUGGAGCAACGCCGCGUGUGUGAUGAAGGCCUUCGGGUCGUAAAGCACUGUUGUAUGGGAAGAACAGCUGGAAUAGGAAAUGAUUUUAGUUUGACGGUACCAAACCAGAAAGCGACGGCUAAAUACGUG